rnacentral:rRNA from 1 species
GAACAACGCGAAGAACCUUACCAGGUCUUGACAUCCUUUGACCACUCUAGAGAUAGAGCUUUCCCCUUCGGGGGACAAAGUGACAGGUGGUGCAUGGUUGUCGUCAGCUCGUGUCGUGAGAUGUUGGGUUAAGUCCCGCAACGAGCGCAACCCUUGACCUUAGUUGCCAGCAUUCAGUUGGGCACUCUAAGGUGACUGCCGGUGACAAACCGGAGGAAGGUGGGGAUGACGUCAAAUCAUCAUGCCCCUUAUGACCUGGGCUACACACGUGCUACAAUGGAUGAUACANAGGGUUUGCGAAGCACGCUAGGCCAAGCCAAUCCCAAAAAGUCAUUNCUCAGUUCAACAUUGUAGGCUGCAACNUCAGNCUACAUGAANCCGGAAUUGCUAAGUNAUCUNNGAUCACCUUGCCCGAGNCNNAAUACNUNCCNNNGGCNNGAA